GCGAGAUGCCCCGUAAAUCUACUGUAUGAUCAAUCAAAACACGUUUUGUCCAAAGUCCAAACUUAAUGGUGUGAUAUUGUGGCAUAUUUACCCUGGAGCUAGCAUAUAUAUGGAGCUGACUUUGUUCCUGGAGGAGCAGACACAGAGGAGGAAU